UAUUGGGUUUGCAAGCCUGCAAUUUGAGACGAAAAGAGAGUCCUUUUAAUCAAAACCCCAAUCUUUAAUGUACAAAACUCGUAACUCACUCAAAAUCAAAAGGAUUUUGGGUUUUUAAGCUUUCCAUUCCUCCUAAUUUAUUCCUCUUCUUGGUUGCCUUGCCUGCGCCUAGUUAUCGCCAUCUCUGCUUCUUUCCAGGCUCCACUCAACCUCCAUCGAGGCUUCUAUAUUUUUUCGAAGGAAAUCCAAAUCCAUUCCAGUGUGUUAUUGCAACUUGAAUUCUUUGGCUUGUUUGAUUGCUUCCUCCACCAUAGUUGAGCGUCUUGUAUUCACUAAAUCACUCAAUGGCUCAUCUGCCUUUAAUAGGACAAAGUGUGAGGCGUAAAAGAAUUGGUAUUGCAUUGACAAUAUGGUUGCAAAUCUGUAGAAUUGCGAGUUGGUUCUUACUUACAUUGGGUGCCAUCCAUAGCCUACAUACUUAUAGACCAAGGAUUAGGUCUUAUAUUUUAGAUUUUUAUGCAAAACGAAAUUAUGUGAAAAGGCUUAUAAAUGCAAAUUGAGCGACUGGGAAAUAUGCUCAAACAGCCGCUGAUGUUAUUGAAGAAAUAAAUGUUGAGGAUGUACCUACUACAGAUAUUAAUGAAGAAAGAAACGAUUUCUAUGACUGCGAAGCUGAUGUCUCUUUGGAUGAUAUGGAUGUUUCUGCUACAGAAUCUCAAUCAGAUAGAAACCAAGGGAGUUCCACAUCUUCAAAGAAGAAAAAAAAGAAUUCUGAUGUAAGUGAUCAUAUUUCCUCUUCAUUUCAUGAUGCUGUCACUUUAUUGGCGAAAAACAUACGGGCCAUUGGCGAACAAAUCAGUAGGAGUAUUGCCUCCGACGUGGUAGUUCAACAAAAGUCAAAAGAAUUCCAGAUCAUCCAAGAAAAAGCUAUAAAUUUAUAACCAACCUUAUGUGGAAUAAAAGGUUUAACUGUGGAUGAGCGCUAUCGAGCAUUGAGCAAAAUUUCAGAUCAUCCAACUCAAAUGCUUGUUUUUUUUAGUUUACCUUCUGAUGUGCGGUUAGAAUGGGUCAGAAGAUUUCUUGCUGACCAUUAAAAAUCAUGGUUCUGUUGAUGAUAUUUUGGUAACUUUUUCUAUUUGUAAUAUUUGGGAUGGUAUGUCAUUACAAUGUUUUAACUUUUUGAUGUUCUAAAACUGUAUAACAUAUGGAUUAUGACAUGGAAUUUUAUGAAUUUCAUGUAACCUUUUGUUAAUAUAUGAAUAUUAUGUUUAUGCAAAAUAUAAUUCUCAAGUUAUUUAUUACUUAAAA